rnacentral:lncRNA from 1 species
CGCCGGGACUAGGGAAGAGGAGGAGGAGGAGGAAGGCCGGGACUGGGACUCGCGGCGGGAGUAGGUAUUGGGGGAGGAGGUCCGGGACUCGCAGCGGGACAAGGAGGAAGUCGGGGAGGAGGGCCGGGACCAGGAGUCGCGGCGGGGAUAGCAGGCAGGACAGGGAGGCUGGGUGGUCUUCCACAAAAAAAAGUGUGUCUCGGAACUUCCUUAGUGCAGUAGGACGGGGGGGCCUGCCGAAUCCCACAGAGAGUACUAUGUGGGGGAAGGGUUCCUCUGAAGCGUCUCGGGAAAAGUCGUGAGGGGGUGACGGUUGCUCGGUGCCUACGGGUCCCGACUGCUCGCUGCCUUCUUUGAGCCCAGUACCGACGUUCGCAGGGGGAUACCUG